rnacentral:rRNA from 1 species
UACGUAGGGGGCGAGCGUUGUCCGGAGUUACUGGGCGUAAAGCGCACGCAGGCGGUCUGCUAAGUUUGGAGUGACAGUUGGUGGCUCAACCACCAAAGUGCUUCGAAAACUGACAGACUUGAGGGCUUCAGAGGGACACGGAAUUCCCGGUGUAGCGGUGAAAUGCGCAGAUAUCAGGAGGAACACCGGUGGCGAAGGCGGAUCUCUGGGCCAUCACUGACGCUGAGGAGCGAAAGCGUGGGGAGCGAACAGG